rnacentral:rRNA from 1 species
UAAUACGAAGGGGGCGAGCGUUGUUCGGAGUUACUGGGCGUAAAGGGCGCGUAGGCGGCGAUCCAAGUUAGGCGUGAAAGCCCCGGGCUUAACCUGGGAAUUGCGCUUAAGACUGGAUUGCUUGAGUGCGGGAGAGGUGAGUGGAAUUCCCAGUGUAGAGGUGAAAUUCGUAGAUAUUGGGAAGAACACCAGUGGCGAAGGCGGCUCACUGGCCCGCAACUGACGCUGAGGCGCGAAAGCGUGGGGAGCAAACAGGAUUAGAUACCCUGGUAGUCCACGCUGUAAACGAUGAGUGCUAGACGUUGGGGAACUCAGUUCCUUGGUGUCGCAGCUAACGCAUGAAGCACUCCGCCUGGGGAGUACGGCCGCAAGGUUA